rnacentral:rRNA from 1 species
UACGGAGGGGGCAAACGUUAUUCGGAAUUAUUGGGCGUAAAGGGCGCGUAGGCGGCUAGAUGUGUCAAAGGUGAAAUCCCUCGGCUCAACUGAGGAACUGCCUUUGAAACUGUCUGGCUUGAGGCCGGGAGAGGGUAGCGGAAUUCCCAGUGUAGCGGUGAAAUGCGUAGAUAUUGGGAGGAACACCAGUGGCGAAGGCGGCUACCUGGACCGGUUCUGACGCUGAGGCGCGAAAGCGUGGGUAGCAAACAGG